rnacentral:rRNA from 1 species
UACGGAGGGAGCUAGCGUUGUUCGGAAUUACUGGGCGUAAAGCGUACGUAGGCGGUUAUUCAAGCCAGAGGUGAAAGCCCGGGGCUCAACCCCGGAACUGCCUUUGAAACUAGAUAGCUAGAAUCUUGGAGAGGUCAGUGGAAUUCCGAGUGUAGAGGUGAAAUUCGUAGAUAUUCGGAAGAACACCAGUGGCGAAGGCGACUGACUGGACAAGUAUUGACGCUGAGGUACG